GAUUGAACGCUGGCGGCAUGCCUUACACAUGCAAGUCGAACGGCAGCACGGGUGCUUGCACCUGGUGGCGAGUGGCGAACGGGUGAGUAAUACAUCGGAACAUGUCCUGUAGUGGGGGAUAGCCCGGCGAAAGCCGGAUUAAUACCGCAUACGAUCUACGGAUGAAAGCGGGGGACCUUCGGGCCUCGCGCUAUAGGGUUGGCCGAUGGCUGAUUAGCUAGUUGGUGGGGUAAAGGCCUACCAAGGCGACGAUCAGUAACUGGUCUGAGAGGACGACCAGCCACACUGGGACGGAGACACGGCCCAGACUCCUACGGGAGGCAGCAGUGGGGAAUUUUGGACAAUGGGCGAAAGCCUGAUCCAGCAAUGCCGCGUGUGUGAAGAAGGCCUUCGGGUUGUAAAGCACUUUUGUCCGGAAAGAAAUCCUUGGCUCUAAUACAGUCGGGGGAUGACGGUACCGGAAGAAUAAGCACCGGCUAACUACGUGCCAGCAGCCGCGGUAAUACGUAGGGUGCGAGCGUUAAUCGGAAUUACUGGGCGUAAAGCGUGCGCAGGCGGUUUGCUAAGACCGAUGUGAAAUCCCCGGGCUCAACCUGGGAACUGCAUUGGUGACUGGCAGGCUAGAGUAUGGCAGAGGGGGGUAGAAUUCCACGUGUAGCAGUGAAAUGCGUAGAGAUGUGGAGGAAUACCGAUGGCGAAGGCAGCCCCCUGGGCCAAUACUGACGCUCAUGCACGAAAGCGUGGGGAGCAAACAGGAUUAGAUACCCUGGUAGUCCACGCCCUAAACGAUGUCAACUAGUUGUUGGGGAUUCAUUUCCUUAGUAACGUAGCUAACGCGUGAAGUUGACCGCCUGGGGAGUACGGUCGCAAGAUUAAAACUCAAAGGAAUUGACGGGGACCCGCACAAGCGGUGGAUGAUGUGGAUUAAUUCGAUGCAACGCGAAAAACCUUACCUACCCUUGACAUGGUCGGAAUCCCGCUGAGAGGUGGGAGUGCUCGAAAGAGAACCGGCGCACAGGUGCUGCAUGGCUGUCGUCAGCUCGUGUCGUGAGAUGUUGGGUUAAGUCCCGCAACGAGCGCAACCCUUGUCCUUAGUUGCUACGCAAGAGCACUCUAAGGAGACUGCCGGUGACAAACCGGAGGAAGGUGGGGAUGACGUCAAGUCCUCAUGGCCCUUAUGGGUAGGGCUUCACACGUCAUACAAUGGUCGGAACAGAGGGUUGCCAACCCGCGAGGGGGAGCUAAUCCCAGAAAACCGAUCGUAGUCCGGAUUGCACUCUGCAACUCGAGUGCAUGAAGCUGGAAUCGCUAGUAAUCGCGGAUCAGCAUGCCGCGGUGAAUACGUUCCCGGGUCUUGUACUCACCGCC
rnacentral:rRNA from 1 species